rnacentral:lncRNA from 1 species
CUUCAACCGCACUGAGUCCCUGAGCUUGCUGACGAGUUGAGUGGCUGGGUCCAGCGCCACCAGAGAGGCCGGAGGAAGAUCCCUCAGAGGGCCCAGGAGAGACAAAGUCUCAGCCACGGAAGAAGUCACCUCCAGUUAAGGCAGUCCCCAUCCAACCCCCUGGACCCCCAGAAAGGAUUCUGUGGGCCAGCUGCAACUAUAUCGCCACCCAGACCGUUCGCAGCCAGCAUUCUUGGAUGCAAUUGACCGACGGGAAGACACAUUUUAUGUUGUCUCUUUCCGAAGCCUCCUGAAUGAUGCCAGCCCAGUAUGCUC